UACGGAGGGUGCAAGCGUUAAUCGGAAUUACUGGGCGUAAAGCGCGCGCAGGCGGCUAUCCAAGUCAGUGGUGAAAGCCCGGAGCUCAACUCCGGAACUGCCAUUGAAACUGUUUAGCUUGAGGACGAGAGAGGUGAGUGGAAUUCCCAGUGUAGAGGUGAAAUUCGUAGAUAUUGGGAAGAACACCGGUGGCGAAGGCAGUGUCCUGGGUGGUCGCUGACGCUGAGAGGCGAAAGCCAGGGGAGCGAACGGG
rnacentral:rRNA from 1 species